CGGGGGGCGAUCUUGGGCGUCGAGUGGCGGACGGGUGAGUAACGCGUGGGAAUCUGCCCUUUAGUCGGGGACAACCUGUGGAAACGCAGGCUAAUACCGGAUGUGCUCUGAGGAGUAAAGGUGCCCUCUUCUUGAAAGGUAUCGCUAAAGGAUGAGCCCACGUUAGAUUAGCUAGUUGGUAGGGUAAAGGCCUACCAAGGCGACGAUCUAUAGCUGGUUUGAGAGGAUGAUCAGCCACACUGGGACUGAGACACGGCCCAGACUCCUACGGGAGGCAGCAGUGGGGAAUAUUGCACAAUGAGGGAAACCUUGAUGCAGCCAUGCCGCGUGUGUGAAGAAGGCCCGAGGGUUGUAAAGCACUUUCAGUGGUGAAGAAAGG
rnacentral:rRNA from 1 species